GGGCUCGUCGGGCAUUAGGACCUGGGAGGUGUUUUCGCGGAAAAAAGGGCGUGCAUUUGUCGGAGAUUCCGCUGUGUUGUCGCUCUGGGACUGAGACCGAGAGCAAGUAAUCGCUUCUAUUUCUCUAAAGAAGAUCUCUAAUAGAAGAGAGGAAGAGAAAGGGAGGAGAACAGAGAAGCAAAUGGGUUCUGGAUCUUUCCUUAAGGUCGUGGUCAAGAACUUCGAUGUUCUCGUUGGGCCUUUGGUCACACUUGUGUAUCCUUUGUAUGCUUCAGUGAAGGCAAUAGAAACUAAGUCUUCUGUUGAUGAUCAGCAAUGGCUUACCUACUGGGUGUUGCAUUCUUUAAUUACACUCUUUGAGCUCACUUUUGCAAAAGUCAUUGAAUGGCUUCCGUUUUGGGCUUAUGCAAAGCUGAUCUUUAACUGCUGGUUGGUCUUACCUUACUUCAGUGGUGCGGCAUAUGUUUAUCAGAGUUAUGUGAGACCAUUGUUUGUAAACCAACAGACAGUCAACAUCUGGUAUGUCCCUCGAAAAAAGGACAUAUUCAGCAGGCCCGAUGAUGUUUUAUUAGCUGCGGAGAAAUUUAUUGAAGAAAAUGGACCAGAAGCAUUUCAGAAGCUCAUUAACAAGACUGAAAAAGUAACAAAGCCCAAGAAGAGCAACAAAUGUGUGACAUUCGAUGAUAGGGUGGCUGGGAAGGAAUCCAAGCCUUGGGGGAGCGAUAGUCACACGGAAAAAGUAACAACGCCCAAGAAGGGCAACAAACGUGUGACGUUCGAUGAUAGGGUGGUUGUGAAGGAAUCCAAAUCUUGGGAGAGCAACAGUCACAUGACAUUUAAUGAAGUAGAGCUUGAAAGGGAUUCAAAGUCUUGGGAGAACAGCAGUUUCAUGAUCUUUGAUUAUGAUAACCGAUAUUGGACAUAGAACUCUAAUUCUGGUCACUUGAUGACCUGCUAUAGAUCAGUCUCUCCAUGUGGCCAUCAGUUAUCUGGAAGGUUUUUCUUCUUUCUUGGUGGUGAUCGAUGAAGAUAUUUGAGCACCUGGGAAUGCACUUUAAUCUUCGUCUCUGUGGGAGGAACACCUGCAUUUUAAGGCUUCAAAUGUCAUCAGUUUGUCCAGGAUUGUCAGUGCACUUUAAGAUAGGAGGGGUUGCACCCUUCAUGAUGUAUGCCAAUCAAUUGACAAACGUUGCCUUCUCAUACUAAUCUGCUUUUGUUUGCUCGAUUAAUGCUCAGAGCACCCAAACAAGGAACGCAAGGACUUCUUUUGGUUCAAGUACCUGUAAGCAAUAAUAUUGAAUUCAUGUGCUCCUUAGUCUGCAUCAAAUACCUCGUCGUCAUGCCGAAUGUAUAAGACAGGCUUCAUGUGCUGAGAGCAAUGAUAGUUUUCGCCUGUGUUCUCGCAUAUAUUUAGUGUUUGGCUCGCAUACCAAAGAUAUCGAGCAGGUAUCAAGCAGAUUCAUCAAGGGUUGCUCUGUGGAGAGCGAUAUCAAGCAGGUAUCGAGCUAUGCAACUGUUAAUUCUAUCUGAUCUUAAAAGAAAUGGCAGUCGGGAUGGGCCGGAGCAGGUAUAGAUCGGAUUGGAUGCAAUAUUGUUCUAAAGACUGUAACUGAAAUCCGAUCAGAUCAAAAAUUUAGAUCCGAGCUUGAUGAUUUUAUGAAACAAAUAAUCUAACUUGACCUGUAAUAAAUUGGAUGUAGUUGAAUAGAUUAAAUGGUUGAGCAUUGCCGCUUCUAUUUUAGAAUUUUUUUGCAGAGGGAGCUUUUUCUGUUAAUUUUUUUUUCUCUCCUUUUUGUUUUUUUUUCUUUAAAUAUCUUGUGCCACAGAUAUGUAGCUGAUUCCACUGAAAUGCUUUCCUGGUAAUUGUGCUUUUUCUCAACCCGGUUUUGUCCUCCUUUUUUUUUUUGAGUCUUCCUUCAAUUUGAUACCAAGUUAUCAUGGAACCUGUACAUUGAUAAACCGGAGGGUGCCAUAUUUUCUACUUGAAUUCUUCUUGAUCAUAGGAAUAUUGCUCAUUAGGACAUCAACCUGAAGAUUUUAAUACUUGUUUUCAGGAUGAGUCUGCAGUGAUUCUGCAUGCAGAAAAAAAAAAAGAGAAACAACAUAUACUAAGUCAUGUCUCAAAAAUCAUGUGUGGGAAACGUACUGUAAGUUAAUGUAUUAUAUUAUAAAGUUUCUUCUUGCCUUGCUUGCAUAUGGAAGUUCUCACGCAUUUCUUCACAUUAAAGUACAUAUGUCAAUAUCUGGAGGCAUCAUCUAUAAAACAUAUAGCGUAUAUUUCCCUUCUCUAGUCAUGGUAUUAUAUGUCUUCGUGUGUUAGCUCUAACAACGCAUGAUCUCUUUCAAUAUUCUUGAAAGGUUUGCAAUAUCUGUAUUUCCUUGCUCAAUGUCAUGAUGUUUCGUAAACUAAUUGCGACAUUGCAUAUGCCACACUCUGUUAACUAAAUUUAGAGAAGACUCCUGUAAUUGCAAAUGUGAAGUUGGAUUGCAAAAACAAAGCAUUUGAUUAUGUCUUUUGAAGCACAUAAAGAUCACCUCUCUCUCUCUCUCUCUCUCUCUCUCUCUCUCUCUCUCUCUCUCUCUCUCUCCAAGAAACACCUCGAAAAUCCCAUUUUCCCAUCCCAUCACGAGUAAGGGUGUGUGUGUAACAUAUGCAAAAUACUUGUAUAUAUAAUAGAAAGGCCAUGAGACCAACUUUAUGCGGCUAGUCUUUAAAGCAUGAAAUUGCAACACUAAAACCACUUAUCCUCUAAAAAUCACAAUGUACACAUCCCUCCAUUCCUCCCACAUAUCUCUUACUUCAUCAU